GCCCCUUAACUUGCGUCCGGGUAACUGUGGCCGCAGCAAAACGCAGCUGGUGCCCUCUGCAGCGCCUAGCCAGACUUCAAGGACACCUCCUCGCUGCUGCUAGAGCACCCUAGCAGCGUUGGGACUCUGGGCACAGUCUGCGGGAGGCUCCCCACCGCUGCCCAGAAGGCGGAUGUUGGGGAAUCAAGGAAAGCGGGAAGAAGGCGAGGCCUGGGGGAGGCCAGAGAAUUGUCGCAGACGGCUAGUUCGGAGGUUAGAAUAAGAAACGCGGAUUUCUGUCGGAGGCUCCGCCACGCCCCUUACCCACCAAGUACCUUGAUGAGAUUACCCAAUCCCUCUGCUUCGCAAAAUGGCCUUCUAUAAGUGAGGAAGAAUAAUGUCUUCUGACCUAAGUCGCUGUGAUGGUCAUAUGAGAUACAAAACUUUCACCUCUUGUUCAAAGAGUGGCAAAGACUCGAAUCUUUUUCCUCCAUUCUUUACUUACACACACCCAUAGGUGAUUUCAAACGAGUACAGACGCUCUCUCCAGCCAGAAUGAACUAGCAGUGUCAUCGUGGAAAUGGUUUAAUAAAAAUUUUCACUUAUUGAGU